rnacentral:lncRNA from 1 species
AUGUCUAAGUCAGAGUCUCCUAAAGAGCCUGAACAGCUGAGGAAGCUCUUUAUUGGAGGGUUGAGCUUUGAAACAACCGAUGAGAGCCUGAGGAGCCAUUUUGAGCAAUGGGAAUGCUCACGAACUGUGUGGUAAUGAAAGACCCAAACACCAAGUGCUCCAGGGGCUUUGGGUUUGUCACAUAUGCCACUGUGGAGGAGGUGGAUGCAGCCAUGAAUGCAGGGCCACACAAGGUGGAUGGAAGAGUUGUGGAACCAAAGAGAGCUGUUUCAAGAGAAAAUUCUCAAACACCAGGUGCCCACUUAACUGUGAAAAAGCUAUUUGUUGGUAGCAUUAAAGAAGACCCUGAAGAACAUCACCUAAGAGAUUAUUUUGAACAGUAUGGGAAAAAAAUGAAGCGACUGUAAUCAUGACUGACCGAGGCAGUGGCAGGAAAAGGGGCUUUGUCUUUGUAACCUUUGAUGACCAUGACUCUGUGGAUAAGACUGUCAUUCAGAAAUACCACACUGUGAAUGGCCACAACUGUGAAGUCAGGAAAGCCCUGUCAAAGCAAGAAGAGAUGGCUAGUGCUUCAUCCAGCCAAAGAGGUCGAAGUGGCUCUGGAAACUUUGGUGGUGGUCGUGGAGGUGGUUUUGGUGGGAAGGACAACUUUGGUUGUGGAGGAAACUUCAGUGGUUGUGGUGGCUUUGGUGGCAGCCAUGGUGGUGGUGGAUAUGGUGGCAGUGGGGAUGGCUAUAACAGAUUUGGUAAUGAUGGAAGCAAUUUUGGAGGUGGUGGAAGCUACAAUGAUUUUGGCAAUUACAACAAUCAGUCUUCAAAUUUUGGACUCAGCCAGGCGUGGUGGCUCACACCUGUAAUCCCAGCACUUUGGGAGGCUGAGGUGGGUGGAUCACCUGAGGUCAGGAGUUCAACAGCAGCCUGGCCAAUGUGACAAACCCCGUCUCUACUAAAAAUACAAAAAAUUAGCCGGGCGUGGUAGCGGUCGCCUGUAGUCCCAGCUACUCGGGAGGCUGAGGCAGGAGAAUGGCGUGAACCCGGGAGGCGGAGCUUGCAGUGAGCCGAGAUCGCGCCACUGCACUCCAGCCUGGGCGACAGAGCGAGACUCCGUCUCAAAAAAAAAAAAAAAAAAAAAAAAAAUUUGGAUCCAUGAAGGGAAGAAACUUUGGAGGCAGAAGCUCUGGCCCCUAUGGUGGUGGAGGCCAAUACUUUACUAAUUAUGAAACCAAGGUGGCUAUGGUGGUUCCAAUAGCAGCAGUAGCUAUGGCAGCAGCAGCAGAU